GGUCCAAUGGUCUAGUGGGAUACUUGCUUUGGGCUGUACGUGAUUUGAACGUCGCGUGACUCCCUUGCAAGGGAUCCCCGGUUCAAGCCCGGGUUGGACCC